rnacentral:rRNA from 1 species
GACGAACGCUGGCGGCGUGCUUAACACAUGCAAGUCGAACGGAAAGGCCCUGCUUUUGUGGGGUGCUCGAGUGGCGAACGGGUGAGUAACACGUGAGUAACCUGCCCUUGACUUUGGGAUAACUUCAGGAAACUGGGGCUAAUACCGGAUAGGAGCUCCUGCUGCAUGGUGGGGGUUGGAAAGUUUCGGCGGUUGGGGAUGGACUCGCGGCUCAUCAGCUUGUUGGUGGGGUAGUGGCUUACCAAGGCUUUGACGGGUAGCCGGCCUGAGAGGGUGACCGGCCAAAUUGGGAUGGGGAUACGGCCCAGCCUCCAACGGGAGGCAGCAGUGGGGAAUAUUGCACAAUGGGCGGAAGCCUGAUGCAGCAAAGCCGCGUGGGGGAUGACGGCCUUGGGGUUGUAAACCGAUGUCGCCUGUGACGAAGCGUGAGUGACGGUAAUGGGUAAAGAAGCACCGGCUAACUACGUG